GACGGAGGGGGCAAGCGUUGUCCGGACUUACUGGGCGUAAAGGGCCCGUAGGCGGCCUGUUGCGUCGGUGCUGAAAGCGCCCCGCUUAACGGGGUGAGGCGUGCCGAUACGAACAGGCUCGAGGCAGGCAGAGGGUGGCGGAAUUCCGGGUGUAGUGGUGAAAUGCGUAGAGAUCCGGAGGAACGCCUGUGGCGCAAGCGGCCACCUGGGCCUGACCUGACGCUGAGGGGCGAAAGCGUGGGGAGCGAACCGG
rnacentral:rRNA from 1 species